GAUGAACGCUGUCGGCGUGCCUAAUACAUGCAAGUCGAGCGAACAGACGAGGAGCUUGCUCCUCUGACGUUAGCGGCGGACGGGUGAGUAACACGUGGAUAACCUACCUAUAAGACUGGGAUAACUUCGGGAAACCGGAGCUAAUACCGGAUAAUAUCUUGAACCGCAUGGUUCAAUAGUGAAAGACGGUUUUGCUGUCACUUAUAGAUGGAUCCGCGCCGCAUUAGCUAGUUGGUAAGGUAACGGCUUACCAAGGCGACGAUGCGUAGCCGACCUGAGAGGGUGAGCGGACACACUGGAACUGAGACACGGUCCAGACUCAUACGGGAGGCAGCAGUAGGGAAUCUUCAGCAAUGGGAGAAAGCCUGACGGAGCAACGCCGCGAGAGUGAUGAAGGUCUUCGGAUCGUAAAACUCUGUUAUAAGGGAAGAACAAAGGUGGAAGUAACUAGGCACAACUUGACGGAACCUAAUCAGAAAGCCAAGGCUAACUGCAUG
rnacentral:rRNA from 1 species